rnacentral:rRNA from 1 species
CCUACGGGAGGCAGCAGUGAGGAAUAUUGGUCAAUGGCCGGAAGUCUGAACCAGCCAAGUAGCGUGCGGGAUGAAGGUCCUAUGGAUUGUAAACUGCUUUUGCACGGGGAUAACACCCUCCUCUUGAGCCGGACUGAAGGUACUGUGAGAAUAAGCGUCGGCUAAUUCCGUGCCAGCAGCCGCGGUAAUACGGAGGACGCGAGCGUUAUCCGGAGUUAUUGGGCUUAAAGGGAGCGUAGGCGGACGUUCAAGUCAGCGGUAAAAUCCCGGGGCUCAACCCCGGCCGGCAGUUGAAACUGGAUGCCUUGAGAUCACGACAGGUAUGCGGAAUUCGUAGUGUAGCGGUGAAAUGCUUAGAUAUCACGAGGAACCCCGAUUGCGAAGGCAGCCUGCCGGGGGGCGUCUGACGCUGAGGCACGAAAGUGCGGGUAUCAAACAGGAUUAGAUACCCCGGUAGUC